rnacentral:rRNA from 1 species
UACGGGAGGCAGCAGUGAUGGAUAUUCGUCAAUGGCGGCAACCGUGAACCAGCCAUGCCGCGUGCAGGAAGUCGGCCCUGUGGGUUGUAAGCUGCUUUUAUUCGGUAAUACACCUCUUUACGUGUAGAUAGCUGAAGGUACCGAAGGAAUAAGGAUCGGCUUACUCCGUGCCAGCAGCCGCGGUAAUACGGAGGAUCCAAGCGUUAUCCGGAUUUAUUGGGUUUAAAGGGUUCGUAGGCGGCCUGUUAAGUCAAGGGUGAAAGACGGUAGCUCAACUAUCGCAGUGCCCCUGAUACUGAUGGGCUGAAUCCCCUACCGCUAGGUUGGAAUGCGCCAAGCAGCGGUGAUAUCCCCCCCCAUGUCGCACAACAUCCCCCCCCAAGGCAGCUUC